rnacentral:rRNA from 1 species
UACGUAGGGUGCGAGCGUUAAUCGGAAUUACUGGGCGUAAAGCGUGCGCAGGCGGUUUUGUAAGCCAGAUGUGAAAUCCCCGGGCUUAACCUGGGAAUGGCAUUUGGGACUGCAAGGCUUGAGUGCGGCAGAGGAGACUGGAAUUCCUGGUGUAGCAGUGAAAUGCGUAGAUAUCAGGAGGAAUACCGAUGGCGAAGGCAGGUCUCUGGGCUGACACUGACGCUCAUGCACGAAAGGCGUGGGAGCAACAG